rnacentral:rRNA from 1 species
AUUGAACGCUGGCGGCAGGCCUAACACAUGCAAGUCGAACGAGUGGCGGACGGGUGAGUAAUGUCUGGGAAACUGCCUGAUGGAGGGGGAUAACUACUGGAAACGGUAGCUAAUACCGCAUACCAUCGGAUGUGCCCAGAUGGGAUUAGCUAGUUGGGGGGGUAACGGCUCACCAAGGCGACGAUCCCUAGCGGGGCUGAGAGGAUGACCGGCCGCACUGGCACUGAGACACGGACCAGACUCCUACGGUAGGCAGCAGUGGGGAAUAUUGCUAAAUGGGCGAAAGCCUGAUGCAGCCAUGCCGCGUGUAUGAAGAAGGCCUUCGGGUUGUAAAGUACUUUCAGCUGGGAGGCGUGACCCGCAGAAGAAGCACCGGCUAACUCCGUGCCAGCAGCCGCGGUAAUUC